rnacentral:rRNA from 1 species
GGACGAACGCUGGCGGCGUGCUUAACACAUGCAAGUCGAACGAAGAGCGAUGGAAGCUUGCUUCUAUCAAUCUUAGUGGCGAACGGGUGAGUAACGCGUAAUCAACCUGCCCUUCAGAGGGGGACAACAGUUGGAAACGACUGCUAAUACCGCAUACGAUCUGACCUCGGCAUCGAGGAUAGAUGAAAGGUGGCCUCUACAUGUAAGCUAUCACUGAAGGAGGGGAUUGCGUCUGAUUAGCUAGUUGGAGGGGUAACGGCCCACCAAGGCGAUGAUCAGUAGCCGGUCUGAGAGGAUGAACGGCCACAUUGGGACUGAGACACGGCCCAGACUCCUACGGGAGGCAGCAGUGGGGAAUCUUCCGCAAUGGACGAAAGUCUGACGGAGCAACGCCGCGUGAGUGAUGACGGCCUUCGGGUUGUAAAGCUCUGUUAAUCGGGACGAAAGGCCUUUUUGCGAAUAGUGAGAAGGAUUGACGGUACCGGAAGAGAAAGCCACGGCUAACUACGUG